UUAAACAAGACAUUUUCUUUUAUUCAAUAAAUAAUUUACAUUAUAAACAGCUGGCGUGUGGCACCACAUUCACUUUACAUACAAACAGCUUGAUCUUUCUGGCAUUUUCAGUAAUUUGAAAACUCUUUUCUACCAUUACAAGUCUGAGAGAAAUUCAAAUGAAAUAAGAGCUAAAUGGAAAAGAAAACAUAAAGUGCUUUAAACUCAAAAACCUGAACACCCCAUGAAUAUGCAUUUAGCUUCUUUCUUUUUUCCCUUCUUAAAUGUAAAGUGAUGACAACCAGCAUUUUAUCACUUCAUCCGUAACUACUAGGCGGGUAAACUGGAUGAAGUAAAGAAUAUUUUGCCCUGUGGUGUUCAUGUUUUUGCAAGAAAAUCCCUUUUUAAAUAAAAAAAUUAAAAGAAAAUGUUCACAUUCACCGAAACAUCUGAUGUACAAAACGAGUGAUUAAUUCCAAACACAACAAAAUACAAAUUCCAACUCACAAAACGUAUGUACAACCUCACAUUUCAAAUGUAGAACUAUAUACUGUAAAUCUCACAACACAAUCUAUUAACACAAGAUUCCACAUUACAAUCAUUUGUUUUGUGUGAGCUUUUUUGUUGUUGUUGUCAAACUGCACCAUAACGUGUUCCUAAUAGCAGCAGUAAGGUCUGCCAAACACUUCAGUGUAGAGGAUGAAUGACGUUGAAACGCUGUCACAGUAGUGCCUGUAUCUGCACCGGGGACUCGUGGCACCAGAGUGGCCAACGGAAACGCUUUGGGGACACACGAGAAAAGCAAAAAAAAAAAAAAAAGGUGCGACUGCUAAAACCCAAACUACUGCUGCUGCUCAGACGUUGGCACGAGGGGGGGGAGGGUGGGGGACACGGAAAACACUGUCAGGUCUACGAAAAUGCUCAACCUGCUGGAGAGGGACGUCUUUACAGCGAACACCAACAGCAUCCACACCACAGACUCCGAAUCCAGAGUUAAAUUCACAAAAUGCCGCCCGAGGGGUGUUGGGGUGUGACGGUGUGACGGGUCGCUGUACAUCCUGUGAACGCCGCGUGCACAAUAAAGGUACAUCAAGCAACAUUCACAUUACAGACCUAGAAAUACAAAACACGGCCUGAACAACGGUGUGAUGGUCUGGAAGACACAGAAAAGAGAUUUGUAUUAUUAUUAUCAUCAUCUUUUUUUUUUUUGGAACUCUCUACUUGGCAGACCGAGGCCGUAUUCACCGAGCGCCUCGUCUUUUCAAUUUUAGAAAUUUGGGGUUCUAUAGACAUGGGAAUAAUGUCUUCUGGAACCGCACAAUGCACAUAAUUAACCACAGAUGCUUCGGCACACAUAUUUUACUAAUGCACACUCUCUCUCUCACACACACACACACACACACACACACACACACACACACACACACAAUUAUAUUACAAUAUGACCCAUUAAUCUCCGCAGCAGACGACUGGAGACGCUGCUCUGACAUAGUUUUGGCUGAGUGCUUCCUCCAAAAAGGCUCGGGCCUUUUCCAAAGCUGGAAACUAAUCAAACAUGGAGCAGCUUCUGGCUUUAGGUUAACAAAAGCCCCUGUCAGGUCCUCUCGCUCUGCCACAUGAGCCUGGGAGAGCUCCACUGGCUCGGCACCAAUGGGUGGAUCAGCAGAGGGAGGAUCAGCGAACUUCUGUCUGCAAAAGAUCAUCUCGUGCGAAUGUGGGACUUAAUCCGGGAGGUGGACAUCCUGAGCUCGGGAGAAGCCUCGGCUCUCUCACCGCCGCUGUCAUCAAAGACCCGUCCGUAUGAACCAGCUAAACACAUGUGAUGAUGGGUGGGAGUACGGCGACCUCCUCCUCGUCAUUGCGCAGGAGUCAACACAUCGGGAUGAGCCUCGGGGGAGAGGGGGAGGGGGGGGAGGACC
ensembl:lncRNA